rnacentral:rRNA from 1 species
GAAAGGAUUUAUUCGGUAAAAAAUGGGCCCGCAUCUGAUUAGCUAGUUGGUGAGAUAAUAGCCCACCAAGGCAACGAUCAGUAGCCGACCUGAGAGGGUGACCGGCCACAUUGGGACUGAGACACGGCCCAAACUCCUACGGGAGGCAGCAGUGGGGAAUAUUGCACAAUGGGCGAAAGCCUGAUGCAGCAACGCCGCGUGAAGGAAGACGGUUUUCGGAUUGUAAACUUCUAUCGAUAGGGAAGAAAGGAAUGACGGUACCUAAAUAAGAAGCCCCGGCUAACUACGUGCCAGCAGCCGCGGUAAUACGUAGGGGGCAAGCGUUAUCCGGAAUUACUGGGUGUAAAGGGAGAGUAGGCGGCAAGGUAAGCGAUAUGUGAAAGCCUUAGGCUUAACCUGAGGAUAGCAUAACGAACUAUCUAGCUAGAGUACAGGAGAGGAAAGCGGAAUUCUUAGUGUAGCGGUGAAAUGCGUAGAUAUUAGGAAGAACACCAGUGGCGAAGGCGGCUUUCUGGACUGAAACUGACGCUGAGGCUCGAAAGCGUGGGGAGCGAACAGGAUUAGAUACCCUGGUAGUCCACGCUGUAAACGAUGAGUGCUAGGUGUCGGGGAGGAAUCCUCG